CAUGGACCUUGAAGACAGUGACGGCACCUCUGCCACAAAUGUUUCAAUGCUCGCUGUAUCGUCUCCAUCCCAGAGGUUAGUGAAGAUUAGAAGGC